rnacentral:tRNA from 1 species
AGAUGAUGGGCCUCUGCCUUUCAGUUCUCUUGGAACAAGACGGCAAGAGAGUCACUCUUACCGUCGCGCAUACCUUAAGCGGGUCUGCCGCCUUCGUUUCUCUUUCUUCAGCGAAUGACUUUUGGAUUGCGCUCGCGCGCCGUGUCGCACCCUUCGGGUGCUGGCGCUCCGCGAGGGCGCGGCACGAGCCGCGACGGCCGGUCGGCCUUGCGAGGCUCUGCCUCGAAGCCGACUACCAUCUGCGCUUGGGGCUAAGGGCUUGUAGCUCAGUUGGUUAGAGCGCGCGCUUGAUAAGCGUGAGGUCGGAGGUUCAAGUCCUCCCAGGCCCACCACUUCCUUUCGACACGAAGGUUAUCAGGGGCCGUAGCUCAGCUGGGAGAGCGCCUGCUUUGCAAGCAGGAUGUCGUCGGUUCGAUCCCGUCCGGCUCCACCACUUGCGUAACCGCGAAGGGAUUGUCGCGGUUCGCGACGAUCCUGCGGAUCGCGCGGAGGUGUCGAGUGGAGGUGGGAGAAAAAAGUCAUUCGUAUAAAGAUUUGUGGUGGGCUUCUUGGCUUGCCGCUUGUUCUGUUUUGACAUUGUAAAGAGAAGAUUUGUUCGAACUUCAUGGAUCGCAAGGUUCAUGAUUUGUCGCGGGAGACGCUCAAUCUCCCGCAUAUGAUGGGUUUGCCUAACCGCGCCCUCGAACCGAUCUCGAGAAGCUGGUCUUUUUGUGCCAAUGACAUCGAAUUGGAUCCCGCACAGGAUCUGGUUCAGGUGCAAUCCUUUGGAUUGCGCGGACGCUGAACUCGCAAGGGUUUGGCUGAAGCGGCAAUCCCUUUGGGAUUGCGCGGGUGAGCAUUGGCAAUGAGAACGAUCAAGUGUCUUAAGGGCAAUUGGUGGAUGCCUUGGCAUGCACAGGC